AUUGAACGCUGGCGGCAGGCCUAACACAUGCAAGUCGAACGAGUGGCGGACGGGUGAGUAAUGUCUGGGACACUGCCCGAUGGAGGGGGAUAACUACUGGAAACGGUCGAUAAUACCGCAUACCCUCGUAUGUGCCCAGAUGGGAUUCGCUAGGAGGUGGGGUAAAGGCUCACCUGGGAGACGAUCCCUAGCGGGUCUGAGAGGAGGCCCAGCCACACUGGAACUGAGACACGGUCCAGACUCCUACGGGAGGCAGCAGUGGGGAAUAUUGCACAAUGGGCACAAGCCUGAUGCAGCCAUGCCGCGUGUAUGAAGAAGGCCUUAGGGUUGUAAAGUACUUUCAGUCGGGAGGCGUUACUGACAGAAGAAGCACCGGCUAACUCCGUGCCAGCCGCCGCGGUAAUAC
rnacentral:rRNA from 1 species